rnacentral:tRNA from 1 species
GAGCAAGAAGCAAAAUUUUGCACCUAGUUUCGACCUAGAAGUAUGGCUUUAAUACCCUUGCCCA